rnacentral:lncRNA from 1 species
CUGAAGAGACAUACCAGCCCUUUGGGGAGAUGACUUUACUCACGAAAUAAUCACAGGACUUCCCCCAGCCAUGCAACAGAGCCACUGAAGGACCCAGGCCCGCAAGAGGAGAAGUCACCAAUGGGAACAUUCCUUAUGUUCCUCACAGUAAAGCAAAGAAGUCACUCCAUGUUCCCAGCAAAGAGGAGGCUGCCUAAAAGUGCCAGGCGCUGGGCUUGGUGACUCCACUACACCCAGUCCCACAAUUUGCCACACUAAGAAAAUAAGACUUAUUUCAUUUCUCCUUCUCCCCUGCAUUGCCCUCCUCUGGGUCAUCUGGAGAUACACAUGAGUGAUCCUUCCUGGGUUCUCUAUAGUUAUCUCUAAGAAUCACUUCUCCAUGCAUUCUUAAUGAAAACAAUUCUGGAAAAGAUACAUAAUUUGCAAGGAAAUAAAAGAUGUCUAAAC